UUUGCUUAGACACCAAGUCGGCGAUGAAGCUUCCUUCUAAGUGGAUUAGCGGCCNACGGGUGAGUAACACGUGGGUAACCUACCUCAAAGUGGGGGAUAGCCUCCCGAAAGGGAGAUUAAUACCGCAUAAUAUAAGAAAAUCGCAUGAUUAUCUUAUCAAAGAUUUAUCGCUUUGAGAGGGANCCGCGGCGCAUUAGCUAGUUGGUGGGGUAACGGCCUACCAAGGCAACGAUGCGUAGCCGACCUGAGAGGGUGAUCGGCCACAUUGGAACUGAGACACGGUCCAGACUCCUACGGGAGGCAGCAGUGGGGAAUAUUGCGCAAUGGGGGAAACCCUGACGCAGCAACGCCGCGUGGGUGAUGAAGGUCUUCGGAUUGUAAAGCCCUGUUUUCUGGGACGAUAAUGACGGUACCAGAGGAGGAAGCCACGGCUAACUACGUGCCAGCAGCCGGGGUAAUAA
rnacentral:rRNA from 1 species